GAGUAAUGUCUGGGAAACUGCCUGAUGGAGGGGGAUAACUACUGGAAACGGUGGCUAAUACCGCAUAACGUCGCAAGACCAAAGAGGGGGACCUUCGGGCCUCUUGCCAUCAGAUGUGCCCAGAUGGGAUUAGCUUGUUGGUGAGGUAACGGCUCACCAAGGCGACGAUCCCUAGCUGGUCUGAGAGGAUGACCAGCCACACUGGAACUGAGACACGGUCCAGACUCCUACGGGAGGCAGCAGUGGGGAAUAUUGCACAAUGGGCGCAAGCCUGAUGCAGCCAUGCCGCGUGUAUGAAGAAGGCCUUCGGGUUGUAAAGUACUUUCAGCGGGGAGGAAGGUGUUGUGGUUAAUAACCGCAGCAAUUGACGUUACCCGCAGAAGAAGCACCGGCUAACUCCGUGCCAGCAGCCGCGGUAAUACGGAGGGUGCAAGCGUUAAUCGGAAUUACUGGGCGUAAAGCGCACGCAGGCGGUCUGUCAAGUCGGAUGUGAAAUCCCCGGGCUCAACCUGGGAACUGCAUUCGAAACUGGCAGGCUUGAGUCUUGUAGAGGGGGGUAGAAUUCCAGGUGUAGCGGUGAAAUGCGUAGAGAUCUGGAGGAAUACCGGUGGCGAAGGCGGCCCCCUGGACAAAGACUGACGCUCAGGUGCGAAAGCGUGGGGAGCAAACAGGAUUAGAUACCCUGGUAGUCCACGCCGUAAACGAUGUCUACUUGGAGGUUGUGCCCUUGAGGCGUGGCUUCCGGAGCUAACGCGUUAAGUAGACCGCCUGGGGAGUACGGCCGCAAGGUUAAAACUCAAAUGAAUUGACGGGGGCCCGCACAAGCGGUGGAGCAUGUGGUUUAAUUCGAUGCAACGCGAAGAACCUUACCUGGUCUUGACAUCCACGGAAGUUUUCAGAGAUGAGAAUGUGCCUUCGGGAACCGUGAGACAGGUGCUGCAUGGCUGUCGUCAGCUCGUGUUGUGAAAUGUUGGGUUAAGUCCCGCAACGAGCGCAACCCUUAUCCU
rnacentral:rRNA from 1 species